rnacentral:rRNA from 1 species
UACCAGGGUUUGACAUGGCGAGCCCUCCUAUGAAAGUAGGCUUCCCCGCAAGAGGACUCGCACACAGGUGUUGCAUGGCUGUCGUCAGCUCGUGUCGUGAGAUGUUGGGUUAAGUCCCGCAACGAGCGCAACCCUCAUCCCAUGUUGCCAUCGGGUAAAGCCGGGAACUCGUGGGAAACUGCCGGGGUAACUCGGAGGAAGGUGAGGAUGACGUCAAGUCAGCAUGGCCCUUACACCCUGGGCUACAAACAUGCUACAAUGGACGGUAAACAGAGGGAUCCGAGACCGCGAGGUGGAGGCAAUCUCAGAAAUCCGUUCUCAGUUCGGAUUGCAGGCUGCAACUCGCCUGCAUGAAGCCAAAAUCGAUAGUAAACGUCAGGUCUGCUCAAUUGCGUUGAAUACGUUCCCGGACCU